UGGAGCUGUGGUGAGUACCCCUACCCUGCUGCAGCAUAGGAUAGUGGGGAGCUUUCAGAAAUGGGUCCCGAGCGGCCCCAGUGUCAAAGCAGGGCAUGGGCGCAGCUUUAGAAAAGCCACUUUGCUGGAUGCUGGGUCCCCUGCUAUGGUAUCAGGAGACAAAGCCCACAGCCGAGAUAGCCUAGACUGUGUUGCCAGGUUUGUAUAUGUGAGUGGUUUCUAACAUUUGGUACCCAGUUUGUAGAAACAUGGUCUGUAUAGAAAGCUUGCAGAUGGCUCCAAGUUUAGUACUGGCCUUUUGGGCCUUUUCUUUCUCUCUGUGUGGCCUUGGGCGUCACCUAGCAACUACAGCUCCCCCCCCCCCCCUAGUUAGGGACAGGGAUACCGUCCUCUAGUGGCCUCUGGAGCUCCUUCUAGCCUCCAGAUUCUCUGAGUGGAAUAUUUAACUACUGAGGCUUAAUGAGAGUUAGGAGUGGGUCCUCUUGCCUGGGAGUGUUGUUCUCUCUCUCUCUCUCUCUCUCUCUCUCUCUCUCUCUCUCUCUCUCUCUCACACACACACACACACACACACUGCAGUGUGCUAAAGGAGAGAAGGUACUACAGGAAUCUCAGGGACUCAGGAUGAACUCUGGCUGCAGACUUUUGAUCUGAGGGUGACGGUAGAAGGGGCCACUUCACCCUGCAGCUGCCCACCUGUGGUCCCAUGUUUGGAGGGCAUCAACUGAGAGCAGCUUUGUGGAGGAAACAGCUGGUCCUCAAGUUAGUAAGAUAGACAGUUUUCCCUGGUGAAAAACAGGGGACCAAGGAAAUAGCCCAGGGGUAGAGUGGUUGCCCAAGAGGUCCUGGUUUCAAACGCCAGUGUCACUAUCUAACAACAAAAUGCUGGGCUUGGUGGAGGAUGUCUGUAAUCUCAGCACUUGGAAGGUUGAAGGAGAAAGAUCAGGAGUUCAAGCCAUUUC
rnacentral:lncRNA from 1 species